AGCGGGAAGUAGCUCGCUACUUUUGCCGGCGAGCGGCGUACGGGUGAGUAAUGCCUGGGAAAUUGCCCAGUCGAGGGGGAUAACAGUUGGAAACGACUGCUAAUACCGCAUACGCCCUACGGGGGAAAGCAGGGGACCUUCGGGCCUUGCGCGAUUGGAUAUGCCCAGGUGGGAUUAGCUUGUUGGUGAGGUAAUGGCUCACCAAGGCGACGAUCCCUAGCUGGUCUGAGAGGAUGAUCAGCCACACUGGAACUGAGACACGGUCCAGACUCCUACGGGAGGCAGCAGUGGGGAAUAUUGCACAAUGGGGGAAACCCUGAUGCAGCCAUGCCGCGUGUGUGAAGAAGGCCUUCGGGUUGUAAAGCACUUUCAGCGAGGAGGAAAGGUUGAUACCUAAUACGUAUCAGCUGUGACGUUACUCGCAGAAGAAGCACUGUGCUAUCUCCCCGCCAGCAGCCGCGGUAAUAACGGAGGGUGCAAGCGUUAAUCGGAAUUACUGGGCGUAAAGCGCA
rnacentral:rRNA from 1 species